rnacentral:rRNA from 1 species
AACGAACGCUGGCGGCAUGCCUAAUACAUGCAAGUCGAACGAGAUCUUCGGAUCUAGUGGCGCACGGGUGCGUAACGCGUGGGAAUCUACCCUUGGGUUCGGAAUAACAGUUAGAAAUGACUGCUAAUACCUGAUGAUGACGUAAGUCCAAAGAUUUAUCGCCCAAGGAUGAGCCCGCGUAGGAUUAGCUUGUUGGUGAGGUAAAAUGCUCACCAAGGCGACGAUCCUUAGCUGGUCUGAGAGGAUGAUCAGCCACACUGGGACUGAGACACGGCCCGAGACUCCUACGGGAGGCAGCAGUAGGGAAUAUUGGACAAUGGGUCGAAAGCCUGAUCCAGCAAUGCCGCGUGAGCGAUGAAGGCCUUAGGG